rnacentral:rRNA from 2 species
UCCCCGUGGCGGCGGGCUAUAAUGCAGUCGAGCGGACAGAUGGGAGCUUGCUCCCUGAUGUUAGCGGCGGACGGGUGAGUAACACGUGGGUAACCUGCCUGUAAGACUGGGAUAACUCCGGGAAACCGGGGCUAAUACCGGAUGGUUGUUUGAACCGCAUGGUUCAAACAUAAAAGGUGGCUUCGGCUACCACUUACAGAUGGACCCGCGGCGCAUUAGCUAGUUGGUGAGGUAACGGCUCACCAAGGCAACGAUGCGUAGCCGACCUGAGAGGGUGAUCGGCCACACUGGGACUGAGACACGGCCCAGACUCCUACGGGAGGCAGCAGUAGGGAAUCUUCCGCAAUGGACGAAAGUCUGACGGAGCAACGCCGCGUGAGUGAUGAAGGUUUUCGGAUCGUAAAGCUCUGUUGUUAGGGAAGAACAAGUACCGUUCGAUG